rnacentral:lncRNA from 1 species
UCUUCCAUUCUGACUCCAUACACUGAGAGGUUGGAUCUAACAGCAUCAAGACUCCUGUUCAGCCAUCCUGGAGGCCUUUUAUUUGGCUAUUUUACAAUCGUUUUUCUGUGACUAGCCACUAUUGUACUCAGUGGAGAGGGAGGAGUCACUCACAGUCCCAGUGAGCUCAUGAGCUUUGGUGAUGCCUGUGACAGCUGGUUUCCAUAACAACCCACCAACCCUAUGUAAACUUCCCUUGGCUGGUUCUGGAACUUCUGGAUAGGUUGUUUUGGUAGCUUCUGUGUGGCUCAGUGUCAUGCAGUAGAUUGUGAUUCUAGAAGAAAAGUCUUGAUUGUUCUCAGACUUGCAGGACCUGCUGGGCAGGACAGAAGCAUUGGUUCAAAUGGAGAGUUUGGGGAGGUACAGGGUUAGACCUUCAGAACCCAAACCAGU